UACGGGGGGGGCAAGCGUUGUUCGGAAUUACUGGGCGUAAAGGGCUCGUAGGUGGCCAACUAAGUCAGACGUGAAAUCCCUCAGCUUAACUGGGGAACUGCGUCUGAUACUGGAUGGCUUGAGUUUGGGAGAGGGAUGCGGAAUUCCAGGUGUAGAGGUGAAAUUCGUAGAUAUUCGCAAGAACACCGGUGGCGAAGGCGGCCAACUGGACCAUUACUGACGCUGAGGCGCGAAAGCGUGGGGAGCAAACAGG
rnacentral:rRNA from 1 species